rnacentral:lncRNA from 1 species
AGAGGAGGAGUCCAUUGAAGGGAAAGAGUUCUGCUGAUCAAGCAGAGAAUUCUAGACCAGUUGAUAGUUUAAAUGCUCGAUUAGUUGAUCAGCAUCGAUGGCCAAGUAGAAUGGGUGGGAAGGUAUCAUCUGGUGCUAUGAAAAGGAGUGUUGAUCUGAGUGAUAAGAAUAGUAAAAUUGCGCCAAUUAGUCGCUCCGUCACGCCUUCCUUGAGGAGAUUAUCAUAUACUAUGAACAGAAGUGUUGAUCUGAGUGAUAAGAAUAGUAAAAUUGCGCCAAUUAGUCGCUCAGUCACGCCUUCCUUGAGGAGAUUAUCAUUGGAUGGUUAUACCAAACCAUUGCAAAAAUCUUCC